rnacentral:rRNA from 1 species
ACUGAACGCUGGCGGCGUGCUUAACACAUGCAAGUCGUACGCGAAAGGGACUUCGGUCCCGAGUAAAGUGGCGCACGGGUGAGUAACACGUGGAUGAUCUGCCUCUAUGAUGGGGAUAACAGUUGGAAACGACUGCUAAUACCGAAUACGCUCAUGAUGAACUUUGUGAGGAAAGGUGGCCUCUGCUUGCAAGCUAUCGCAUAGAGAUGAGUCCGCGUCCCAUUAGCUAGUUGGUGGGGUAACGGCCUA